AACGAACGCUGGCGGCAUGGAUUAGGCAUGCAAGUCGAACGGGAGUAGCAAUACUCCAGUGGCGAAAGGGUGAGGAACACGUGAGCAACGUACCCCCAAGUUGGGAAUAGCUCCGGGAAACUGGAAUUAAUACCGAAUGUGGCCUCCGCCUACAUGGGCGGAUGGCUAAAGAUUUAUCGCUUGGGGAUCGGCUCGCGUCCCAUUAGCUUGUUGGCGGGGUAACGGCCCACCAAGGCGACGAUGGGUAGCUGGUCUGAGAGGACGACCAGCCACACUGGGACUGAGACACUGCCCAGACUCCUACGGGAGGCUGCAGUCGAGAAUCUUCCGCAAUGCGCGAAAGCGUGACGGAGCAAUGCCGCGUGCCGGAUGAAGGCCUUCGGGUCGUAAACGGCUGUCACCGGGGACGAAUCCAAUGACGGUACCCGGGGAGGAAGCCACGGCUAACUACGUGCCAGCAGCCGCGGUAAUACGUAGGUGGCGAGCGUUGUUCGGAUUUACUGGGCGUAAAGGGUCCGCAGGGGGCCGGCCAAGUCCGAUGUGAAAUCCCGGAGCUCAACUCCGGAACGGCAUUGGAAACUAGUCGGCUAGAGUCUCGGAGAGGAGAGUGGAAUUCCAGGUGUAGCGGUGGAAUGCGUAGAUAUCUGGAAGAACACCGAAGGCGAAGGCAGCUCUCUGGACGAGUACUGACCCUCAGGGACGAAAGCGUGGGGAGCAAACAGGAUUAGAUACCCUGGUAGUCCACGCUGUAAACGUUGUGUACUUGAUGUGGGGGGACUUGACCCCCUCCGCGUCGGAGCUAACGCGUUAAGUACACCGCCUGGAA
rnacentral:rRNA from 1 species